rnacentral:lncRNA from 1 species
UAAAGAUCCUAGAACAGGCUCUCAGCAAUUUGUUUGGGUGAGGAAAAUAAUAUGGCAUUGGGGUAGAGAGAACAAUAAACCACGACAACGGCUUUCAAAAACAUGGACCAGCGCAAAGACAGUCACAUGCACACUGCAGAUAUUCUACAGUGUGCAUGUGCAGUUGAAAAAGUGAUUUACCAUAUGUUAAGACAGCAAUCAUGUUGUGACAUGUUUUACAGUUCUAUUAUGCUGUACAUGUAAUAGUAUUUGUAUCUUCACACUUUAUAUUUCAUUGUAUUUCACUGAGGUAUCUAUUUAUUUUGAUAUAUUUGCUUAUUUUUUUAUCAGUAAAAUGCAAUGUAUUUGAGAUUUGAUAAUUAAGGAAUCAAACACAUUAUGUAAAAUCUUUUUAAUUAAAACAAAACCUCUGUCACUAAAAAGCAUUUAGGUCAUUUUUGUUUAACACCAUAGCAUGCGACUAAUGAGUUUGUGGUGUUGCAUGUUUAUGGUCAGAAUAAAACAGAUCUUGAAAAGUUAUUCGGAUAUUAGUUUGCGGUGUAUUAACUAUUUUUUGUCAUCUAAUUUGCUAUUGUUCUUACAUAUUUCAAUUUUGAAUCUGUUUGUUUUUAUCUUAAAAACUAAAUGCAGAUUUUGCAAAAUAUUUGUAAAUACAGCUGUUUCUCAAACCAUGCCUCUUUUGGGGUGAUUUAGAAUAUUCAUAGAAAAUAAAUUUUGUUUACAUACUGGUUACCAGUUAUGGUCUCUGUGUUCCAUCUCAUAAAGACAUAACUUGGGAAUGCUACUAGUAAAUAGACUUGUUUACAUUGAAAUCAGUGGUAACCUAUUAUUCGAGGUAGGGUUCCUGAAGAAAAUUAGUGUUAGUUUCAACUCUGAAAAGUUCAGGGCAUAUAGAUUUUGAAAAUAUGCCGCACAGCCCUAUAUUUCGACCUUUUAAAAAAAUUGUAGUGCAUAUCAACUUUCAAUUCUAGGAUUAGAUUUUUUUCAAAACUUCAUAGUAAAAGUGG